rnacentral:rRNA from 1 species
GUCUUGUAAUUGGAAUGAUGGGAAUUUAAACCUCUUCCAGAGUAUCAAUUGGAGGGCAAGUCUGGUGCCAGCAGCCGCGGUAAUUCCAGCUCCAAUAGCGUAUAUUAAAAUUGUUGCAGUUAAAAAGCUCGUAGUUGAAUUUCUGCUGCAUUGCUUUUGCUCCUUUACGAGUCUUUGCAUUGUGGCUUAUUUCGGACUUUGUUUUACAAUGUCCGGAUGUUUACUUUGAGAAAAUUAGAGUGCUCAAAGCAGGCUUUCGCCUUGAAUAGUUUAGCAUGGAAUAAUAAAGUAGGACUUUGGUUCUAUUUUGUUGGUUUUAGGUACCAAAGUAAUGGUUAAUAGGAACAGUUGGGGGCAUUCGUAUUUAACUGUCAGAGGUGAAAUUCUUAGAUUUGUUAAAGACGAACUACUGCGAAAGCAUUUGCCAAGGAUGUUUUCAUUAAUCAAGAACGAAAGUUAGGGGAUCGAAGACGAUCAGAUACCGUCGUAGUCCUAACCAUAAACUA